rnacentral:rRNA from 1 species
AUGAACGCUGGCGGCGUGCUUAACACAUGCAAGUCGCACGGAAAGGCCUCUGCUUGCAGGGGUACUCGAGUGGCGAACGGGUGAGUAACACGUGGGUGAUCUGCCCUGCACUUCGGGAUAAGCCUGGGAAACUGGGUCUAAUACCGGAUAGGACAAUGGUUUGGAUGCUGUUGUGGAAAGUUUUUCGGUGUGGGAUGAGCUCGCGGCCUAUCAGCUUGUUGGUGGGGUAAUGGCCUACCAAGGCGUCGACGGGUAGCCGGCCUGAGAGGGUGUACGGCCACAUUGGGACUGAGAUACGGCCCAGACUCCUACGGGAGGCAGCAGUGGGGAAUAUUGCACAAUGGGCGCAAGCCUGAUGCAGCGACGCCGCGUGGGGGAUGACGGCCUUCGGGUUGUAAACUCCUUUCGCUAGGGACGAAGCGUUUUUGUGACGGUACCUGGAGAAGAAGCACCGGCUAACUACGUG